GACGAACGCUGGCGGCGUGCCUAAUACAUGCAAGUCGAGCGAACAGACGAGGAGCUUGCUCCUCUGACGUUAGCCGGUGAGGUGUGAGUGACACAUUGAUAACCUACCUAUAAGACUGGUAUAAGGGCGUGAAACCGGAGCUAGUACCGUAUAAUAGAUUGAACCUGAUGGUUCAAUAGUGAAAGACGGUUUUGCGGUCACUUAUAGAUAGAACCGGGCCGCACUAGCUAGUUGGUAAGGUAACGGCUUACGAAGGCGGCGAUGCGUAACCGACCUGAGAGGGUGAUCGGCCACACUGGGACUGAGACACGGUCCAGACUCCUACGGGAGGCAGCAGUAGGGAAUCUUCCGCAAUGGGCGAAAGCCUGACCGAGCAACGCCGCGUGAGUGAUGAAGGUCUUCGGAUCGUAAAACUCCGUUAUUAGGGAAAAACAAGUGUGUAAGUAACUAUGCACGUCUUGACGGUACCUAAUCAGAAAGCCACGGCUAACUACGUG
rnacentral:rRNA from 1 species